rnacentral:rRNA from 1 species
UACGUAGGGUGCAAGCGUUGUCCGGAAUUAUUGGGCGUAAAGAGCUCGUAGGCGGUCUGUCGCGUCGGCUGUGAAAACCCGGAGCUCAACUCCGGGCCUGCAGUCGAUACGGGCAAACUGGAGUACUGCAGGGGAGACUGGAAUUCCUGGUGUAGCGGUGAAAUGCGCAGAUAUCAGGAGGAACACCGGUGGCGAAGGCGGCCUUCUGGACAGUGACUGACGCUGAGACGCGAAAGCGUGGGGAGCAAACAGG